rnacentral:rRNA from 1 species
CCUGCCCCGAAGACUGGGAUAACACCGGGAAACCGGUGCUAAUACCGGAUGCCCUCCUCUGGUCGCAUGGCCUAAGGAGGAAACGACUGUAUCUAAUAAAUGCAGUUUGCUUCGGGAGGGGCUCGCGGGCUAUCAGCUUGUUGGUGAGGUAACGGCUCACCAAGGCGACGACGGCUAGCUGGUCUGAGAGGACGACCAGCCACACUGGGACUGAGACACGGCCCAG